rnacentral:rRNA from 1 species
UGGGGAAUUUUGCACAAUGGGGGAAACCCUGAUGCAGCGACGCCGCGUGAUUUAGAAGGCCUUCGGGUUGUAAAAAUCUUUUCUAUGGGAAGAAAAUGACAGUACCAUAGGAAUAAGGACCGGCUAAUUACGUGCCAGCAGCCGCGGUAAUACGUAAGGUCCGAGCGUUGUCCGGAAUCAUUGGGCGUAAAGGGUACGUAGGCGGGUAAGCAAGAUAGAAGUGAAAUCCUAUAGCUCAACUAUAGUAAGCUUUUAAAACUGCUCAUCUUGAGGUAUGGAAGGGAAAGUGGAAUUCCUAGUGUAGCGGUGAAAUGCGCAGAUAUUAGGAGGAAUACCGGUGGCGAAGGCGACUUUCUGGCCAUAACCUGACGCUGAGGUACGAAAGCGUGGGUAGCAAACAG